GAUGAACGCUAGCGGCAGGCUUAAUACAUGCAAGUCGAGGGGCAGCAGCUUUAUAGCAAUAUAGGGGCUGGCGACCGGCAAACGGGUGCGGAACACGUACACAACCUUCCUUUAAGAGGGGGAUAGCCCAUAGAAAUGUGGAUUAAUACCCCGUAACAUAUCGGUGUGGCAUCACACUGUUAUUAUAGUUUCGACGCUUGAAGAUGGGUGUGCGGCUGAUUAGGUAGUUGGCGGGGUAAAGGCCAACCAAGCCUUCGAUCAGUAGCUGAUGUGAGAGCAUGAUCAGCCACACGGGCACUGAGACACGGGCCCGACUCCUACAGGAGGCAGCAGUAAGGAAUAUUGGUCAAUGGACGCAAGUCUGAACCAGCCAUGCCGCGUGAAGGAUGAAGGUCCUCUGGAUUGUAAACUUCUUUUAUAGGGGGCGAAAAAAGGGAAUUCUUUCUCACUUGACAGUACCCUAUGAAUAAGCACCGGCUAACUCCGUGCCAGCAGCCGCAGUAA
rnacentral:rRNA from 1 species